CAGCAGCCGCGGGAAUACGAAGGGGGCUAGCGUUGUUCGGAUUUACUGGGCGUAAAGCGCACGUAGGCGGACUUUUAAGUCAGGGGUGAAAUCCCGGGGCUCAACCACGGAACUGCCUUUGAUACUGGAAGUCUUGAGUAUGGUAGAGGUGAGUGGAAUUCCGAGUGUAGAGGUGAAAUUCGUAGAUAUUCGGAGGAACACCAGUGGCGAAGGCGGCUCACUGGACCAUUACUGACGCUGAGGUGCGAAAGCGUGGGGAGCAAACAGGAUUAGAUACCCCCGUAGUCCCUGUCUCUUAUAC
rnacentral:rRNA from 1 species